CCUUCUUGAUUUUUGUAGCUUUAGUCGUCGAAAUAUUCGGGAAAUAUAUAUCGACUCUCUGUUGCAAUCGUGGUAAUCAACUUCGUGUUAAUCGACGCGAAGUUGCCUAGUUAGGACGGAACACUCCCAAUGAAGAGAAUGACACAAGGAAUCCAAUUGAGGGUACCUCCUCGUCUGAUAAAAUCUGUAUAAUUGUCGAGGAUGUUAUCACGAGUGGCAACGAUAUUCUAGAAGGGCCGUCAAAUGUAUAAAAAAAGAUAACCCAAACACUAUAGAAGUUUAUGUGGUUGAUAUGGAGUAAGAUAGCAAGAAGAAUCUCGAAAAUCACGGGAUUAAAGUGAAAAGUCUAUUCGAGAUUACACAAUACAUGAAGUACGUUCUCGAGGCUGGAAAGAUCACGCCCGAAAUAGUUAAAAACGUUGAUGAUUACGUGGCAGCGAAUCAAGCAGCGAAUAUUUCCACUUAAGACGCACCAAAUGACAAAUUCAAGCUGCAUAAGGUAAAUGAGUAAAAAAUUAACGACGAGUCCAUCAGUCUCGAAGCUGCCAUAUGUUAGCAGCUAGAGCUAUAAUAUUAUAUGGAAUCAAAACAAAUAUAAAUCUAUACUUGGCGGUCAAUUUCUGGA